CAGCCUUUACAUCUUUUCUCCAUUUUAACUCACAGUCUCAUUAGGCUAAUUUGUUUCCAGGUUGGAGGAUGAAUAAUGAGCCCCAGCCUGUGGGUGCAUAAUUAAGUUUUGAUAGCGAAUGUUUUUAUCUAACCUCGUUUUCAGUUUCAUCCUCGGCACCUGAAUUACGUGGCUGUGACUUGGGGCUGAGGUUCUGCCUUUGCAUUAGACCCAGAGCUGUGCACCCACACAAGAUGCAGCAGUGCUCCGCCACCGCCCAGGGGCAGGACAGCGCCCAGCAAUGACACCGGGGAGAGCAGUGAUGCCACAGGGUGACUGCUUCCUCCGGGACGUGAAGGGAAAGAGAAAUAAUUAACAACAACAGGAAUUUUCCAUACCACGGUCGGUAUAAGCUCCUUCCUUGGUCUGUGGUCCUUGCAGGGUUUGCACACCACUCCCAGAGAGAUGGGACAUCCCAAUGGUGAUGAUCACCAAGAGCGUUGCACUGACUCCUGCGGUCCUGACGCAUUUGCCGGUGUAAUCAUCCCUCAGUGUAAUCAUCUUUGUUCCUACACAAUCCUACCAGCUCUGCAGGCUCAUUGCCGUGCUCCCCACAGGAGCCUCCUCAGCAUUAGUGCCCGCUGAAUUCUCCGUGCUCCGUGCAAGUGAUUUCCUCCAGCCUUCCCCUUGUUCUCUUCAGCUCCGCAGGGUUCCUGCCAGGCUUUCCCGCUGAUCUUUUUGCCCUCUCACUGCUCCUACCGUUGUCACGAGGCUUUUCCCUAAUUCCCUGUCUGCAGGGCUGGGUUAGGGGUAAGGAAGCACCGCGGUUGUGUAGGGCCCAGAGGAAGCUCACAGCUGGAGGUCAGAGCGCAGCGCAUCCCACAGCCGGACCGCGGGCACAGCCGGAGCACCGCGGCCGCCCGGGCAGGUUGCGGUUGCAGAGAUGUAACCUCCGUAUGGGGGAGCACUGGGGAGCAGCACUUCUACCAGCAUUGGCACCUCAUGGACCCAUCCUACACCCAUUUUCCUUUCCAUGUUCUCCAGUUUUGGCCAAAACAGAAGGUGGGCAACGUGCGAUGCAUUGAUUCAGCUGCCAGCUUAGGAGAGUACUUACCCCGGGAGGAGCAGCUUUCUGUGCUCAGCUUCUGCAUGAGGAGACAAGGGAGGAGCAGCAUGGUGCUGGGACCUGCGCUGGUCAGACUGGGGCUCGGAUGACCUCCAUGAGCCCUUGGGAUCAGUCAAGC
rnacentral:lncRNA from 1 species